AAAUCAUGAUGAGGACACCUCAAAAGCUCUCCAAACCGCUCUCAUGCCUCGAACAAGGAUUCUGCUUCAUAUUAUUGGAAGCAACAUAUUUCUGUCAUAAGUUU